rnacentral:rRNA from 1 species
UCAUUAAAUCAGUUAUGAUUCAUUGGAUGUUGACCAAUUACAUGGAUAACUGUGGUAAUUCUAGAGCUAAUACAUGCCGAAAAGCUUCAUCGCAAGGUGAGGCGCAUUUAUUAGACCAAGACCAAAGGUGGCAACACCUUCCGGUGGUGACUCUGGAUAACUGCAGCUGAUCGCAUGGCCUAGUGCCGGCGACAUAUCCUUCGAGUGUCUGCCUUAUCAACUUUCGAUGGUAGGUUAUGUGCCUACCAUGGUUGUAACGGGUAACGGAGAAUCAGGGUUCGAUUCCGGAGAAGGAGCCUGAGAGACGGCUACUACAUCCAAGGAAGGCAGCAGGCGCGCAAAUUAUCCACUCUCAGCACGAGGAGAUAGUGACGAAAAAUAACAAUAUGGGCUUCGCUUACGCGUUCUCAUAAUUGGAAUGAGUACAGUUUAAAUCCUUUAACAAGGAUCAAUUGGAGGGCAAGUCUGGUGCCAGCAGCCGCGGUAAUUCCAGCUCCAAUAGCGUAUAUUAAAGUUGUUGUGGUUAAAAAGCUCGUAGUUGGAUCUCAGUUCAGUCGUGUUGGUCCACUUUGUCGGUGGUUACUGGCACGUUGAACAUAAUACCAAAUUGUUCGCAGGUGUUCUUAAUUGGGCGUCUGCGGCGAUUGGUACGUUUACUUUGAAAAAAUUAGAGUGCUCAAAGCAGGCCUUCGUGCCUGAAUACUGUUGCAUGGAAUAAUGGAAUAGGACCUUGGUUCUGUUCUGUUGGUCUUCGGAAUCGAGGUAAUGAUUAAGAGAGACGGACGUGGACAUUAGUACUGCGGCGAUAGAGGUGAAAUUCUUGGACCGCCGCAUGACUAACUAAAGCGAAAGCAUUUGUCAAGAACGUUUUCAUUAAUCAAGAACGAAAGUUAGAGGUUCGAAGGCGAUCAGAUACCGCCCUAGUUCUAACCAUAAACGAUGCCAACCAGCAAUCAGCCAGAGUUUUUCAAAUGACUCGGCUGGCGGCUUCCGGGAAACCAAAGUGUUUCGGUUCCAGGGGAAGUAUGGUUGCAAAGCUGAAACUUAAAGGAAUUGACGGAAGGGCACCACCAGGAGUGGAGCCUGCGGCUUAAUUUGACUCAACACGGGAAAACUCACCUGGUCCGGACACUGGAAGGAUUGACAGAUUAAGAGCUCUUUCUUGAUUCAGUGGGUGGUGGUGCAUGGCCGUUCUUAGUUGGUGGAGCGAUUUGUCUGGUUAAUUCCGAUAACGAACGAGACUCUAGCCUAUUAAAUAGUCACGGUGGCCUUCGGUCUGCCGGUGGCUUCUUAAAGGGACAAACGGCGUUUCAGCCGUAUGAAAAAGAGCAA